GCGGAUGUGGCGGAAUUGGCAGACGCAGCAGACUCAAAAUCUGCCGGUGGCAACACCAUGGGGGUUCGAGUCCCUUCAUCCGCA
rnacentral:tRNA from 1 species